ACCACAGUGGACGCGCUAAGCGAAGAUAAAAGAGCAGUGACAACUAAAGGCGUGAAGGGGCUGUUUUGUUGGGGAAGAAGUAACAUCAGAGACCCACUAAGGCAUUUCAGGCCAGGAGAAGAGUUGCAUCUUUGCCAUUCCUUCGCCACCAAGUGCUGAAGGACACAACUGCCAAGGGAGGAAGAUGAAGAUGUUCCCAACCUGUAGCUUUCCCAAGCAGCACUCACAGAAAAAGACUGAUCAUCACCAAAGGCACCGGCAAGGGUCUUUACGAGUUCAUCCAUCCGGGUUCAUCCAUCCAACCUUAUUCCCGCUUGGAUAUACUGAAGGAUACAUGGAGGAACGCAGUGAACUGAGGCUAAGGGCUUCGCCAAAGUCACUGGACUACAGAAGCACUGACUGUUA